rnacentral:tRNA from 1 species
GGCCCUGUGGCGCAGUUGGUUAGCGCGUCUCCCUGUCAAGGAGAAGGUCGCCGGUUCAAGUCCGGUCAGGGUCGCAA